AUUGUACUCGGAGGACAUUAUCGAGUUUUGAACGGGUUGUAGCUGGCCUCUCACGAGGCAUGUGCACGCCUGGCUCAUCCACUCUUAACCUCUGUGCACUUUAUGUAAGAGAAAAAAAUGGUGGAAGCUUCCAGGAUCUCGCGAGAGGUCUUCGGUUGAACAAGCCGUUUUUCUUUCUUAUGUUUUACUACAAACGCUUCAGUUAUAGAAUGUCAACUGUGUAUAACACAUUUAUAUACAACUUUCAGCAACGGAUCUCUUGGCUCUCGCAUCGAUGAAGAACGCAGCGAAAUGCGAUAAGUAAUGUGAAUUGCAGAAUUCAGUGAAUCAUCGAAUCUUUGAACGCACCUUGCACUCCUUGGUAUUCCGAGGAGUAUGCCUGUUUGAGUCUCAUGGUAUUCUCAACCCCUAAAUUUUUGUAAUGAAGGUUUAGCGGGCUUGGACUUGGAGGUUGUGUCGGCCCUUGUCGGUCGACUCCUCUGAAAUGCAUUAGCGUGAAUCUUACGGAUCGCCUUCAGUGUGAUAAUUAUCUGCGCUGUGGUGUUGAAGUAUUUAUGGUGUUCAUGCUUCGAACCGUCUCCUUGCCGAGACAAUCAUUUGACAAUCUGAGCUCAAAUCAGGUAGGACUACCCGCUGAACUUAAGCAUAUCAAAAAAGGGGAAGGAAAAA
rnacentral:rRNA from 1 species